UUUAUUUUUAUUCCACCUUUAUUUGAGUAAGCUAGUUGAGAACAAGUUCUCAUUUACAACUGCGACCAGGGGCCUGUUGCACAAAAGUAGAAUUAAGACAUCCGGGAUAAAUGACUCAGCUGAGCUCAAUGAAGCCAAAACAUGUGCGUCCAGGCUUAAUUGGUUGCACAAAGACCAAGCCAGGAUGAGCAGACACGGAUUCAUUAAGCCAGGUGAAACCAAUCCUGGAUAGGUGCGCGCUCACGGCUCACUCAAAUAGACCCCGCCACAGAUCACAGAUUAAUUGAUUUACCAUGGCAACUAGAGCCGCGUACUUUUCCCCGUCGGAAGCACAAAUCCUCAUGGAGGCAUACGAGGAGGUAAAAUAUAUAAUUAAGAAGAAAGGCAACACCGCCACAGUGAUAAAGCAAAGAGAAAAAGCGUGGCAAAGUAUUGCAGACCGCCUGAAUGCAUUAAACAUGAACGGGCCAAAACGGACAUGGCAGCAGGUCAAAAUCAAAUACAAGAACAUUCUGCAGAAUGCAGUGAAAAAGAAUACCCACAGACAAGGCACGGGUGGUGGGUCACCAAAGGCUGACCUUACCCCAGCAGAGGACAUGGCCUUGGAGCUAAAUAAAGGCAGGCCCGUCUUAGAGGGGAUCCUGGGGGAAAGAGACGAGCAUAGGUUCCUCCCAAGAUGCCACCCGCUUCAUUCAAGUGCCUGGCAGCACUGUGUUCCUGUUAGAGCCACCAGCACAAGCACCAGACGAUGCUGAUCCAGGUGAAGGCCCCAGUGCAGCAGCAACAGCACAUGAUGGAGACGAUGAUGAGGAGGAGACCAUCUCUCUGGAUUCCAGAAGGCAUGAGGUAUCAUGUUAAGACUGUGAAAGUACUAUUUACUCUACAAUGGUGAGGAGUCCUCAUCAAAAUCUAAUUUCUUUUACAGGACCCAGAUGCUAUACAGUGGGAAAACCAGCCUGGCAACAUAGUGCGUAUUAAUAAAAGGACACCACAUCCUGCCAAAUUCCAGCUGCGCUAAUUGUAUUGUGUUCACAGAGCUCACAAGCUAUCAGAAAGUUGUAUGGCAACCACCUCCGGCGCCAAAUAGAACUGGCAGACAUAGACAUUCAGUACAAGAAGAAAAAGAUGGAAAAUCUUGCACUGGAGUCCGAAAUAAAAAAGAGGACAAUUAGGAAACUGGACCUUGAAAUAAAAAAACUUGAGGGAGCUCCAAGAAGAUGACACAGCUCAAAAUAAAAAUUAGGUAUAUUCUCGUAAAGUCAAGUGAGCCAUGACAUAUGAGCUCUUAUUGUGAGCACACAGGACGGUGGCAUCUUUCUAAGGUUUU